UUAAUUGAUGAAUAGACUUCCACAAUUGUCUUUUUACAAUCCGGCGAUGAUUCCCAGGAAUAUGUGCCAUGGAUUAAUAUCAUGCAUCACCAUCUGAUU
rnacentral:snoRNA from 1 species